GUUGAACGCUGGCGGCAGGCCUAACACAUGCAAGUCGAACGAGUGGCGGACGGGUGGGCAAUGGCUGGGAAACUGCCUGGUGGAGGGGGAUAACUACUGGAAAAGGUAUCUGAAAACGCAUACCAUCGGAUGUGCCCAGAUGGGAUUAGCUAGUGGGUGGGGUAAAGGCUUACCUAGGCGACGAUCCCUAGCUGGUCUGAGAGGAUGACCAGCCACACUGGAACUGAGACACGGUCCAGACUCCUACGGGAGGCAGCAGUGGGGAAUAUUGCACAAUGGGCGCAAGCCUGAUGCAGCCAUGCCGCGUGUAUGAAGAAGGCCUUCGGGUUGUAAAGUACUUUCAGCGGGGAGGCGUUACCCGCAGAAGAAGCACCGGCUAACUCCGUGCCAGCAGCCGCGGUAAUAC
rnacentral:rRNA from 1 species